GUCAGGAGGAUUAUUGGGCCUAAAGCAUCCGUAGCCGGCUCUGUAAGUUUUCGAUUAAAUCCAUGUGCUCAACACAUGGGCUGCCGAAAAUACUGCAUAGCUAGGGAGUGGGAGAGGUAGACGGUACUCGGUAGGAAGGGGUAAAAUCCUUUGAUCUAUCGAUGACCACCUGUGGCGAAGGCGGUCUACCAGAACACGUUCGACGGUGAGGGAUGAAAGCUGGGGGAGCAAACCGGAUUAGAUACCCGGGUAGUCCCAGCUGUAAACGAUGCAGACUCGAUGAUGCAUUGGCAUAUAGCCAGUGCAGUGUCGCAGGGAAGCCGUUAAGUCUGCCGCCUGGGAAGUACGUACGCAAGUAUGAAACUUAAAGGAAUUGGCGGGGGAGCACCACAAGGGGUGAAGCCUGCGGUUCAAUUGGAGUCAACGCCAGAAAUCUUACCCGGAGAGACAGCAGAAUGAAGGUCAAGCUGAAGACUUUACCAGACAAGCUGAGAGGUGGUGCAUGGCCGUCGCCAGCUCGUGCCGUGAGAUGUCCUGUUAAGUCAGGUAACGAGCGAGAUCCUCGCCACUAGUUGCUAUCAUUAUUCUCAGGAAUAGUGGGGCGAAUUAGUGGGACUGCCGUUGUUAAAACGGAGGAAGGAGGGGGCUACGGCAGGUCAGUAUGCCCCGAAACUCUGGGGCCACACGCGGGCUGCAAUGGUAGCGACAAUGAGCUCCAAACUCGAAAGAGAGUGGCAAUCUCUAAACGCUACCACAGUCAUGACUGAGGGCUGUAACUCGCCCUCACGAAUAUGGAAUCCCUAGUAACCGCGUGUCAUUACCGCGCGGUGAAUACGUCCCUGCUCCUUGCACACACCGCCCGUCGUUUCAUCGAAGUUUGCUUUUAGCGAGGUGAUGUUUAAUUGACAUAUCGAACUG
rnacentral:rRNA from 1 species